rnacentral:lncRNA from 1 species
AUAUUAACACCGUGUUACAGUUGUAGGGUGCCAUAUUGCCUGGAUUAGAGGAAUUUGCACUUGCAUCUGCGACCGCAGUCGUCCCAGUGGCAGCUGCGUUAGACAAUAGGCGGCAGAGUAUAUAGUCAUGUUGGUAUCCCUCUGCCUGCCUGCUUGCUUGUGUCUCUAUUAACAGACAAGUACCCCGAUCAUCUGGAACCUGAAUUGCUGUUCUGUUUUGUAGCACUACGGAUUCAACUUUCAGAAAGGACAUUAGUACUGGUGAUAUUCUCACAACUGAUGAGUUUUCGGUUGAAGCUCACUAAACACGUUUCCAUCCAACCAUUUUAUCCAGAUGAAUUAUCUGUCCACGAAAAAAGUCACGACCGGGCUGAUGGAAACAUGAAAUGCCGGUACAAUUUAUAAAUGCCGUAGGAUAAUUUGGUCGUUCGACAUGGUAGGAUCUUUAUGUGUCGGUAAAAUUAAUUAUGCGAGUAAUGGCGGUGGAAACGCCUUUAUGCGCAAAUAUUGAUAAACACAUUAAUAACCAUCAUAUCGAAGCAAACUUGGAGUCACGCGAUGUUAUGUUGUGUGGUCCUACCACUACGACUUGGGAAAACAUGCAGUUUAUUAGGCUACAGAUGAAAUAAAUGAUGAUGAACUUCACAGGGUGGUGAAUGUGCAAGGUAAUGAGCUUGGAAUAAAUAUCGAGGGUAUUAUUGUCACGUUCUGACCAGUAAAGGGGUUAUUUGUUAUUGUAGUUUGGUCAGGACGUGGCAGGGGGGUAUUUGUUUUAUGUGGUUCGGGGUUUGUUAGUAUAUGUGUUUAUGUAGAGGGGUGUUUGGUUAGAGUAUUCCGGGGUUGGGUUAUGUUCUUUAUUUCGUAUUUCUAUGUUGUGUCUAUGUUGUGUAUUUCUUUGUUGGCCUGGUAUGGCUCUCAAUCAGGAACAGCUGUACAUCGUUGUUGCUGAUUGAGAGUCAUACUUAGGUAGCCUGUUUUCACCUGUCCCUUUGUGGGAAGUUGUGGUUGCAUAGCUGUGUGUUUUAGCCUGCAAUCCUGUUCGUGCGAUCGUUUUGUUUGUGUUCAAUAAAAGUCAUUAUGAGCACUCAACUUGCUGCGCCUUGGUCCACUACGUAUGACGACCGUUACAAUUAUUCUGGUGACAUGAUCGAUGCUUGGCUGCCGUUUGACAAAUACAAAUAAUAUCUCUCUUAUCCAUAAUAAUCUCAUAAUGUAGGUAGCCUUCCCGCAAUUUAUCUACGAGCUGUUGGCUAGAAUGCAUGUGCCAAGACCAGAGUGAGGACAUUUGCAAUAUACCAACAGUUUUUGUGGCAAAACCAUCAGGAGAGUUAAAAAUGUGAUGGAAACCCAUUUAAUUUCUAUUUUUCAUUCUAUAUAUGGGAAUUUAACUGUCAAAGUUAUUUUUAUGUGCACUACGUCAUCACGCACAUGCUUUUAUCCGCAAACAGUAAUUUAAUGUAAACACAUGGUGGGAAAAUGCUCAUAUUGUUUUAGGUAGAUGAGAAUAUUCGCAUGAAAAUCUGUUGCAAUUUAGAUGGAAACCUAGCUAUAAUUUGGAUGGAAACCUAGCCAUAUUUUCACCUUUUGCUAACUGUGUGUUUGGUUUUACCUUCCUUGUGGGGACCAGAAGUCCUCACAAGUAUAGUAAAACAAAACAAUAUGAGCUGGUCCACACAAGGAAAAAGGCUAUUUAGCUAUAGUUAGAGUUAGGAUUUUAAUUUACAUGUUUUUAUUUAACUAAGUAAGUCAGUUAAAAACAAAUUCUUAUUUACAAUGACGGCAUAGGCCGGGGGCCAAACCCAGACGACGCUGGGCCAAUUGUGCGCAACGGCCGGAUGUGAUACAGCCUGGAUUCAAAUCAGGGACUGUAAUGACACCUCUUGCACUGAGAUGCAUUGCCUUAGACUGCUGCGCCACUUGGGGAGCCACUUGGGGUUAGAGGUUAUGGAAAAUAGUAUUUUGAAUGGGAAUCAAUUCUUUGGUCCCCACAAGAAUAGUAAAUCAAACAUGUGUGUGUGUGUUUGAAAAAUCUGAUUUGGAAUGCUGCCACACUAGAAGAAGAAGCAAGGAACAACCUACUGUCAAGUCCAAAAUGAUUUACACCCUUGAUAAAGAUUAGUAAAAAAUACUGUAUAAAAUAAAUAAUAAAAAUACUGAGCUAUACUGUAUGCUCCAAAAAAUUGGGAAAUUGUAUUAUUUUAUAAUAAUACAAUUGCGCAGAGAAAGAGGUUUUGUUUAAAAAGUAAUCUUUUUUUCUUCUAAAAAAGAUAGGGGUCAAAAUUAUUUGCACCCGUUUUCAAUAUCUUUCAAUAUACCUCACCUUGCGAGCUAACGGCACUGAGCCUUUUUCAAUAUACAUGGAGAACACUUUGUGCUUGGGGUUAUUGUCUUGCUUGAAUAUCCACUUGUGGCCAAGAUUUAGCCUCCCGGCAGAGACAACCAGGUUUUUGGCUAAAAUGUCCUGGUACUGGGUAAAGAUCAUGAUGCUGUUAACUUUAACUAGGGCCCCAGGAUCCACCACCAUAUUUUACAGUAAGUAUGGAGUUAUUUUCUGCCUAUCAAAUCCUUUCGUCGCCAAACCCACUACUGGUGUGCGUGGCCAAAGAGCUCCAUUUUCAUGUCAUCAGACCAUACCACUGGUUUCAAUCCAAGUGCCAAUGUCGUUAGCAAACUCCAGGCGUUUACAUUUGUUGGGUGACGUGAAAAUAAAACUCUUUAGCCAUGUACACCAGUGGUGGGUUGGCGCCUCCCAUUGGGUUGUGCCGUGGCGGAGAUCUUUGUGGGCUAUACUCGGCCUUGUCUCAGGAUGGUAAGUUGGUGGUUGGAGAUAUCCCUCUAGUGGUGUGGGGGCUGUGCUUUGGCAAAGCGGGUGGGGUUAUAUCCUGCCUGUUUGGCCCUGUCGGGGGGUAUCGUCGGACGGGGCCACAGUGUCUCCCAACCCCUCCUGUCUCAGCCUCCAGUAUUUAUGCUGCAGUAGUUUGUGUCGGGGAGCUAGGGUCAGUCUGUUAUAUCUGGAGUAUUUCUCCUUUAUUAUCUGGUGUCCUGUGUGAAUUUAAGUAUGCUCUCUCUAAUUCUUUCUCUCUCUCGGGGGACCUGAGCCCUAGGACCAUGCCUCAGGACUACCUGGCCUGAUGACUCCUUGCUGUCCCCAGUCCACCUGGCCGUGCUGCUGCUCCAGUUUCAACUUUUAUUUUUAUUUCACCUUUAUUUAACCAGUGUUCAAAUAAAAGUUAAAAUGAGCACUCAACCCGCUGCGCCUUGGUCCACUUCAUACGACCACCGUUACAGAACUUCCCACCACAAAUGGACCAAGCAGCAGGGUAAGGAGCAGCAGAGGAAUUAUAUGGACUAUGGGGAAUCAUGGACAUGGGAGGAAAUUCUGGACCAUGGCACCAGGCUGGUGAAUACCGUCGCCCACCGGAGGAAAUAGAGGCAGCCAAGGCGGAGCGACGACGUUAUGAGGCAUUAUAC